UAAAAGAGUCCAAAUCAUUAUCUAUCAGUCCCUCUUCAUACAUAGGUGUUUUAACAACUGCAGGCCCUUUGGACUUAUCUUGGCAGCGUUGGCCCUUACUAUCUGUGUUUUGAGCUAAAAUUUUGUGGGCCUGGGAGCCCAUUUUAUCAUGGUUUUGGCCGCUUGUGGGUUAGGUCAGUGUUUGGGGUUGGUUCAAGGUAGGUUUGUGUUGGUUGGUAGACUUGUCAGACAUUCCUGCAUCUUGCUUAGGUAAGGAGUCAAAAUUGCUAGGACAUUGAAGGCUUGUUUUUGAAAAUGUGAAGUGAGAUAUGGAAAUUGGCAAAAGAAAAGCUCAGUAUCUAUGUGAGGUUUUACCAAGGAAGAUAGGUAUUUGUGAAAUAAUUUGGAUAUGUUGUUUGCAGGAAAAAGUUCCGCUGGCAUGAAAAGGCUCGAUGGUUCAGGUAGCUCGGGGCUCGAAAAGACAUGAUGGGUUUUGGAAGUACAAUUAGCGGUAUCUGAACCUGCUUAGAUUGGAACGGCUAGAUUAGGAGAGUGGCUUUUGCCGUAGUUUCUGGUUUUUGAAGCAUUUAGGUGGUUUUGCAAAGCUUUUAUGGGAUCAGACUUUUCUUCCAAGGUUCUUUCACUCCCUUCCCCAGCUUCGGUCGAUUCUUG
rnacentral:misc_RNA from 1 species